UGGUUGAGGUGGAAGACUAGCCAGGUCAGUACAGGAAGAGCUGUAAUCUUUGUAGAUUGCAGGUCCUAGAACACUCCAAUCAGGUAGAUGCUAACAAUGCAGUUUCACCUUCUUGGGCAUUGACACUGACCUUUAGUUGAGAUAUACAGAUUUGAGUGAUAUUGGAUGAAAUGUAGUGAUAAACAUAAUGUUCGGACAAUUUGGAUUACCUUGCUGUUUUCUGUUUGGCAGCUAGGUGGUUACAUUACAUUCUGACUUUACUGCAAUUGGAGAUGCUGUAAUUUGUGAUUUACUGCUACAGUAGGUUCAAGUGACAUUGUGGCAUGCAACCCUCUGUUCCUGCUUUACUAUUUUUGUUGUCUAUCUUCACAGCGGAUUUAAGGACAGCGACUGUGUCAGCCUGUCUCAAAAAUAACCAACUUCGUUGGCCCUUUCCACAAUAUAGAAGCUCUUUGGUCUCAGUCUCCUGCCUAGAGCUUGCUCUGCCAAAGAAACCCUGCCUCCUGCAGAAGAGUAAGGAGAGAGAGAAAUAAAUAUAUACAAGUAUUUGGCCAGUCACUUGAUUCCGUGUGUAGGGGCGCCAGCAUGGAGCAACAACCCAACAAAAUCUGGUUACACUGAUACAGAUAUUCCAAAUGGAUGGGCUUCAGUGACUGUGCUCAGAAAUAUGAUUUCAACGGGAAUUUAGCAGAGAAUCAUAAUUUGGUUUAAGAAGGACCAUUUAUAUGCAACAUCACACCAAGUCACCAAAUCAAAAGGACAAAUAAAAGGAUUGUGACAGAUCACAUGAAAGUGAAGUUUAUUUCUUCAGGGUGCUGCUCACUUUGGAGCUGCUGCUUUUGAACCUCACUUUGCCAGGGCAAUCUCUCAUGUGUCAUGCUGUUCUCUCCUAGAAUCCCUCAAAGAUGAAUUCUUUCUAUUUCUUUUGUACAUAUGACCUGAAUUAUCUUCCGAGAGGAAUGUACUUGAGGGAGAACAGUGGCAGCCUUAAGGAUCAGAUGGCAGUGCCUCUCAAAACCUUUCUUUUUUUUCACUGUCUUUUACCCCCUCUCUUCACAAGAACAAACAAGGGAUUAAAAGGGAAAGGUAGGAAAACAACAUAACUCAAAAAGCAAAGUGCAAAAGCAAGCAUGGCUCAGCUUGCUUUGAUUCUACUCUCCCCUCUCCAUUAGGUCCUUCAAAAGCACAGCAGAAUCAGCCAAAGCAAAAGAAGCGCCAGAACAGAACAAGAAGCAAGAAUACCGCAACAGCGACUGACACAAAUCCUGCUGCUACUUCCCCACAUUAUAAUAUGCGGUCACGUUGCGCAGCCGCAGCGUUGCAUCGCAUUUGCGCCAGCCCAUCCCCAUGAGAAGAAGCUCUUAGAAGAGCAGCAGCAGAGGAAGUGUUGUGGAGUGAGGCGGCAGGAGAGAGGUAGGAGGAGGAGGUCACGGAAGAAGACAACGCUGCGCGGCGGCGGCCAGCGGUUGUCAUGACAAGGCCGGCAGGGUCCUUGAGGCGGGCGGCGGCGGCGGCAUUGGCCAUCUUGUUCGGAGCGCUUGUGUUGAUGGCGUUAGUCAUGAACGACGGCGAGAAAGCGGCUCCGGCGGCUAGCGUCGCGGCGAUCGGCGGGAGGAGGAUGAUGUCAAGAGCAGGUGGAGAGCAGAGGACUCUAGAGGAUUUCAAGGCUGAUGAUCCCAUCCAGGACAGCAAGAGAAGGGUGCCUAAUGGCCCUGAUCCUAUCCACAACAGGUACUUUGAUUUACAAACUACUGCACGGCAAAGCUUGAUUUGGUGUUUGAGUUGGUCUUUUUCCCUUGUCAUGAGCAUUUACCGCAUCAGAGAAAAGCAGUUGCCAUCUUUUGUAGCAAUGUACCUCAUCAAGGAAGACCUUCAGCAACUUCAGUUGUCUAAACAGCGUGAUAGUCAGAACGUCUCACAGAUCGUUUGAGUAGUUUUCCUCUGUUUUUCUAUUUUUCUUCCAGCGCUGUUUGUUUUCUGGCGCCUAGAAGGGUAAAGGUUUUUGCCAGUUGUUGGCCGCCUGGCUCAGGAAGUUGUAUUUUGUUUCUGUUUGUUCCUAUCUUCUAAUAAAAUUUCGGCAAAGCUCUUGCCGUCAUUUCAAAAAAAAAUCUUUUGUAGCAAUGCACAGGUUUCUUGAAAUUUUACAGUUCCAGGGCUUCUUUACCAUGUAGGGGGCAACAUGUACUGUAUCCCUUCAUCCAACUGGAAUUCCAGCACUCAUGAUACUUUAUCAGAAUCUCUUUGUUUAGGCCACAUAUUAAGAAGGAAAUGUUCUUGUCUGACCAGGUUCUGCUACUUGUAGUCCAAGGUGUAUGUUUCGCAGUGUGUUCAAUAUGUUUGUGUGAAACCACAAAAUGUCUUUCCUUUUUUUUUUUUUUUGCAGAUAUGUAGUCAAUUUGCCUCAAUAUGUUCUACUAUUUACCUUGGUUUGUUAAAAAAAUUUAUGCACAAUAGGCAAGUAAAGAAAGACAAAGCUACUAUUUCACAUAAAAAAAUGCAUGAGCCCUACAGUAGUGGGGAAACAAGGUGAUAUGAGCAAAAGAUUCCAUGCACUCCUUUUCCUCAUCACUCCCACAUUCCCCUAUGAUGAUAUGCUAAUAUUUCAGCAAAAGCAAGUAGAUAAGUCCUAUUCCCCUAAUGAGUAACAUAGAUGCUCAUAUCAUUCCUGAAAUGAUUAGUCUACAUGCAUGAAAGCAGUCAAACAAAGGGCACCACCACGGUUCAUCAUGAUAAACAACAGAAAGUCUUAACGGUUUUAGCGCAUCACCUGCUGAAACACAAACUUGCAGUGCUGUCUCAAAUUCCUGCUCAAGCUUCUUCCCCUUCUAAUCUGAUUAUUUUUCCUUCUGCAUUCUCUAGGGGAACCGGCAAGUCCGGACGAUCGCCGGGCCGAGCAUGAUGGGGACGGAACGCAUGUCGAGGCGCGGAAGCUUCUGAAGAGGCAGACGUGUGUGGAGCAGCAAACAGAUGGUGCAUUGCAUUGCAAGGAGGAAGAGGAACAGACAAGAGGUGCAUUGUGGUGGGUCUGGCUGGAAUGUGGGGAGUGGGGUGUAACUAGGGGGAGGUGGCCUAUCUUCUUCUAAGCACUGCUAUUUAAGACAGUUUUAAGCAUGAUGAAACUUUAGCUUUUUUUGGGGGGAAACAAAGGC
rnacentral:lncRNA from 1 species